AUGUAACCUGCAUUAGUGAUUGCAACGGUUAGCUUUUGGCGAGCGGAUGCAUCGAGCCAAAACUAAAAGUGGAAAGCACGACCGCGC
rfam:Arenitalea lutea strain CGMCC 1.12213 genome assembly, contig: Ga0079849_102